UACAGAGGUGGCAAGCGUUGUUCGGAUUUAUUGGGUGUAAAGGGCAGGUAGGCGGCAAUGCAAGUCUGUUGUGAAAUCCCAGGGCUCAACCCUGGAACUGCAAUGGAAACUGCAUCGCUUGAAUAUCGGAGAGGUAAAAGGAAUUCUCGGAGUAAGGGUGAAAUCUGUAGAUAUCGAGAGGAAUACCGAUGGCGAAGGCAUUUUACUGGCCGAAUAUUGACGCUGAACUGCGAAAGCUGGGGUAGCAAACAGG
rnacentral:misc_RNA from 1 species